rnacentral:tRNA from 1 species
ACGGAUAUGGUUGAAUGGUAAAAUUCCUAUUUACCGAGGAUAAGACGCGGGUUCGAUUCCCGCUAUCCGCC